CGUGUAGGUGGUUCUGUAUGUCUACCGUGAAAGCGUACGGCUCAACCGUAUUUAGUCGGUAGAAACUGCAGGACUUGAGGCUGGGAGGGGCUGGUGGAAUUCCCCGUGUAGCGGUGAAAUGCGUAGAGAUGGGGGAGAACACUCGUGGCGAAGGCGGCCAGCUAGACCAGUUCUGACACUGAGGCGCGACAGCGUGGGAGCAAACA
rnacentral:rRNA from 1 species